ACAGGUGAAAGGACGUUCUACCCGUACCCGAUUCUUGGUCGGCGAAAUUUGUGGCUGAUAUUAUAGUGCGGCUGGAUAAAAGCGACAGAAGUGAUCUCUGGCGUCUUUGAGUAGGGCUCUGAACCGGUAGGCGAAACUAAUUCUUUGAGCUGCGCAUACCAUAAGCUGCUGUAAGACGUUUUUUUCUACCGCCCAACAGCGUCUGUAGCGGUGACGUUUGGCAACGAAAUAAAGUGGCCGACGCGCAUCGAUAGCAGAAUCACAAGCGCGUGUCGCAUAGAUGGC